UACGAAGGGGGCUAGCGUUGCUCGGAAUUACUGGGCGUAAAGCGCACGUAGGCGGCUUCUUAAGUCGGUGGUGAAAUCCUGGAGCUCAACUCCAGAACUGCCUUCGAUACUGGGAAGCUCGAGUCCGGGAGAGGUGAGUGGAACUGCGAGUGUAGAGGUGAAAUUCGUAGAAUAUUCGCAAGAACACCAGUGGCGAAGGCGGCUCACUGGCCCGAUACUGACGCUGAGGCACGAAAGCGUGGGAGCAACAGGG
rnacentral:rRNA from 1 species